AAAGAUGAGUCUUUUGCUCUGAGAGAGUAUCUGCAAAUAAUAUUUCGAUGUUUUCUUUUUUUGAAAAAGAAGAUUGAUGUUUUCAUUCAGCCAACCCUUUAUCAUCAGCUUGAUGUUUAAUUUUCAUGCAGUCUAUCUUUCUCUUCUGAGUUAUAUGUCUACUAAGUACUAAACUCUCGAAGAACACACUGUUCACAAUUGUCCUUAUACCAGCUUUCGCUAGGAUAUGGUCUUUGUCUUUCACAUUGGGGAACUUCUCCUUUGAACAGUUGUAGCAUUCAUGAAUCUUUGUAGCAUCCUUUCUCAAAUGAGUAUCCCAUUUGCCACAUUAAAGUCUUUUUUGUCACCUGGAAUAAAACAAAAAUUCAGCUAAAGUGGUCACUUUUCGUUGCUAGUUGAACACAAAAAGGAGUAUGUGAAGAACAAGCAAGAAAGGGUAACAAGCAUGCUACAAUGAGAACAAACAGGGUCAACUAAUGCACACCUUAUUAGGAGUUCGAGUUUCUUCAUCUUCUGAAUGAUCACAUUCAUAGUCUGAAUCAACAGCCAAAAAGAGGAGGAAGACUUGAAAUAGGGAUCAUCGUAGUUUGUUCAUCUCCAAUAUCUCAUGGGAUUUUAGACAUCUAUUGGCUCGUGC
rnacentral:lncRNA from 1 species